rnacentral:lncRNA from 1 species
GCCACAUGAAUUAAGCAUUUUAUUUAAUUAUCAAGGACCACCUUAAAUAUUACUUUAAAAAAUUCAGUCCUAUAUUCAAAAUAGGUAUCCUGAUAACUUCCAGAACAUUAUUUGGAACACCGUUUCCCCAAUUAAGAUAAAUCCAUUGCCGAAUGCUGAACAGACUUUGCCCAUUACCACUUUGGAUUUCUUGAUAGUCUGCAAGAGAAAAAAAAAACAUUAUAAAACUCCGAGCUGUGUACUUAUCCCACUGUUCUGAGAUCUUAUCAGCUAAUUCAGUUGGUUGGUAACUCUUAAACUACAAAAGCCAGCAAAACGGGCCAGCUUUAGCUUUCCAACGUCCUCGCUAAGGCGUUUCAGAUUAACUCAGGAAUAUGAAAAAAAAAAAAUGUACCUUAUGUUUCCAUCAUCCAUCGUAAUGUGUUCAGCUCAGCUUCCUAGAAACAUUUGAACAACGGUUUAGAAAAGUUCGCCCAAUAAUCCGGCACCCUCCAGGUUUUUAGCAGUGAAUAAUGUUACUUGUGCAAGUCAGAAUCUGAUACCAAUUAAAUGGUGACAGCUUUGCCAAUAAACAAGAAUAUGCUCUUCCAUGGCUAGGAAGGGAGACUGCCACAGCUGACAGGUCCCAAAGAUACAUGGAGAUUCACAAUCCAGAAUUAACCAGCAAGCAAACUGCUACAGGUUAUUUACUCACCAUCUGGCUCAAACUGACGGUUCUCGGGGUGCUAUGGCACAAGAGCGACAGAAUAGACUCAAGAUGGCCACAAGACACCGACAGCGAAACAGGUUUCACCGGAGUCCCCGGGCGCACGGAACCUUUCCCCGAGGGCCCACGGCCCACACACGCCGGGAUUCAGGGUCCAGGGCUGCACGUGGCCGCCCCGCGACCUAAUGAGCACUCAAGUCCGCGCAUGCUUGUAAACUUACGGGUUUCCAAAGCUGCCCCCCGACCUACCAAUAUCCUGACUGCGCUGCCCUUUAGGUAAGGCAGUAAGUUUCAGCCCAAUUAUCAUUUUAACGUACGAAAGACAACUGGGUACUUUCACCUAACCCCGACGCUUCCCGAACAUGAAAGGCUGAGGCCUUCGGCACAUGCUCUCUUAUAGAACUGAUGACGCUAUUCCGGGGGAAGCGCCAGGAGGGGCGGAGCCUAUGUUGUUUCACUCUCCGCCCCGCCCAUCCCCGCCCAGCCCCGCCCAGCCCAGCCCCGCCUCGGCUCCACCUGUUCCGUCGGCCACCUCCUCCCGGGCUCCUUUGCCCUCUUCCCCGCCCUUCGUCCACGUCUGAGCGGGUCACCUGGCUCCGGAUCCAGACGCAUGCGCAC